rnacentral:rRNA from 1 species
AUACAGGGGGUGCGAGCGUUAAUCGGAAUUACUGGGCGUAAAGAGUACGUAGGCGGUUGCUUAAGUCAGAUGUGAAAGCCCCGGGCUCAACCUGGGAACUGCAUUUGAAACUGAGUGACUAGAGUUUAAGAGAGGGGAGUAGAAUUCCGGGUGUAGCGGUGAAAUGCGUAGAGAUCCGGAGGAAUACCAGUGGCGAAGGCGGCUCCCUGGCUUAAAACUGACGCUGAGGUACGAAAGCGUGGGUAGCAAACAGGAUUAGAAACCCUGGUAGUCC